UCCGGCUUAUCACCGGCAGUCCCACUAGAGUGCCCAACUGAAUGAUGGCAACUAAUGGCAAGGGUUGCGCUCGUUGCGGGACUUAACCCAACAUCUCACGGCACGAGCUGACGACAGCCAUGCAGCACCUUGCUAUCUGCCCGAAGGAAACCCCCUUUCAGGGGCUGUCAGAUAGCAUUCGAGCCUGGGUAAGGUUCUUCGCAUUGCAUCGAAUUAAGCCACAUGCUCCACCACUUGUGCGGGCCCCCGUCAAUUCCUUUGAGUUUCAUUCUUGCGAACGUACUCCCCAGGUGGCAUGCUUACUGCGUUAACUGCGUCACUGCCCCCGAAGGGGCAACAACUAGCAUGCAUCGUUUACAGCGUGGACUAC
rnacentral:misc_RNA from 1 species